UCGCAAUAUAAAUCGAUGCAUCAAAUAUCAUUUAAUAUCAACAGAAAUGCCAAUAAAUACUUCAUAGAAAAAUUCUGCAAUGGCAAACCCUGGCGUUACGAUUAGUUAACAAACAACUUGGUUCCUAUAAAAGAACAAGAAAGGAAAAUUUAACAUUGGAGUAAUUAUCCUAAGGAACUAAUCUAUCGCGGAAAAUUCAGCUGCUCCAUGCAGAUUCAGCUGCUCCAUACAGUCAGACAAAAGCAUGCUACACGCCUUUGGAAAACAACCAAUAAAGACCACCAUGAAAGCAUGCGUCACGAAAUACAUCCUCAAAGUCCAAAAAUUGGGAAAUACAAGAUCAAUGACAGUUGUCAUAACUAAAAUCCAUACUGCCACUGCGAGAACUAGUACUUGCAUUUCGACUGUGCAAAGAAAGACC
rnacentral:lncRNA from 1 species